rnacentral:rRNA from 1 species
AGUGAACGCUGGCGGUAGGCCUAACACAUGCAAGUCGAACGGCAGCACAGUAAGAGCUUGCUCUUACGGGUGGCGAGUGGCGGACGGGUGAGGAAUACAUCGGAAUCUACUUUUUCGUGGGGGAUAACGUAGGGAAACUUACGCUAAUACCGCAUACGACCUACGGGUGAAAGCAGUGGAUCUUCGGACCUUGCGCGAUUGAAUGAGCCGAUGUCGGAUUAGCUAGUUGGCGGGGUAAAGGCCCACCAAGGCGACGAUCCGUAGCUGGUCUGAGAGGAUGAUCAGCCACACUGGAACUGAGACACGGUCCAGACUCCUCCGGGAGGCAGCAGUGGGGAAUAUUGGAAAAUGGGCGCAAUCCGGCUCCAGCCAUACCGCGUAGUUGAAGAAGGCCUUCGGGUUGUAAACCCCUUUUGUUGGGAAAGAAAAGCAGCAGGUUAAUACCCCGCUGUUCUGACGGUACCCAAAGAAUAAGCACCGGCUAACUUCGUG